rnacentral:rRNA from 1 species
CGGCGCNUACAUAUUAGACUGAGACCGAUGCGCGAUUCCCGUCCUCCCGGCCUCCCGGGUCGGGAUCAAGGUCGGCGCGCUCCGCUUUUGGGUGCACUCUUGGAUAACUUCACUUGGGNUC